rnacentral:rRNA from 1 species
AGCGAACGCUGGCGGCAGGCCUAACACAUGCAAGUCGAACGAACUCUUCGGAGUUAGUGGCGGACGGGUGAGUAACACGUGGGAACGUGCCUUUAGGUUCGGAAUAACUCAGGGAAACUUGUGCUAAUACCGAAUGUGCCCUUCGGGGGAAAGAUUUAUCGCCUUUAGAGCGGCCCGCGUCUGAUUAGCUAGUUGGUGAGGUAAAGGCUCACCAAUGCGACGAUCAGUAGCUGUUCUGAGAGGAUGAUCAGCCACAUUGGGACUGAGACACGGCCCAAACUCCUACGGGAGGCAGCAGUGGGGAAUCUUGCGCAAUGGGCGAAAGCCUGACGCAGCCAUGCCGCGUGAAUGAUGAAGGUCUUAGGAUUGUAAAAUUCUUUCACCGGGGACGAUAAUGACGGUACCCGGAGAAGAAGCCCCGGCUAACUUCGUG